rnacentral:rRNA from 1 species
GAUGAACGCUGGCGGCGUGCUCAACACAUGCAAGUCGAGCGAAGCAUUUUAAAGGAAGUUUUCGGAUGGAAUUUAAAAUGACUGAGCGGCGGACGGGUGAGUAACGCGUGGGUAACCUGCCUCAUACAGGGGGAUAACAGUUAGAAAUGACUGCUAAUACCGCAUAAGCGCACAGUGCUGCAUAGCACAGUGUGAAAAACUCCGGUGGUAUGAGAUGGACCCGCGUCUGACUAGGUAGUUGGUGAGGUAACGGCCCACCACGCCGACGAUCAGCAGCCGACCUGAGAGGGUGACCGGCCACAUUGGGACUGAGACACGGCCCAACCUCCUACGGGAGGCAGCAGUGGGGAAUAUUGGACAAUGGGGGAAACCCUGAUCCAGCGACGCCGCGUGAGUGAAGAAGUGUUUCGGCAUGUAAAGCUCUAUCAGCAGGGAAGAAAAUGACGGUACCUGACUAAGAAGCCCCGGCUAACUACGUGCCAGCAGCCGCGGUAA